UGUCCAGAGUUCCUACAAACAAAAUUCUUAUGUAAGAUACUAUCCGUAGUAUCUUGUUUGUAUAUGUUUGUAUUUAAUGGUUGGCUAAAUCUCAUCUAGGACUGUGUUGCAGCCACAGAGUCAUAGAAUCACAGAAUAUCCUGAGUUGGAAGAGACCCACAAGGAUCGCUGACUCCAACUCCUGGCUCCAGAUAGGAUCAUCUAAAAUUCUAACCAUGUAAACACUUUCAUUUUCUAAACAGGUAACCUCAAGAAAUGUGGCUGGUAAACUUCGUGAGGAUGACUAAUGGAGCUGAACUUCAUGAGAAUGACUAAUGGAGCUUAGCUGUUAUGGAGCAGGACAGAUCUACACAGGCAGGAGGACGAGCAGGGCAAAUAGCCAUUUCUUAGAACAGGUGCAUUACUGCACAGUAUCUAACGUGUACUUUUGAAAACUGUUAUACAGGGAGUCCUCAAGGAUUCAAAGAUAAGUGCUCUAAUUUCCUUUAUAACUGGAAGGAAACCAAAAAGGUUGUUUUACAGUUUAUCAACUAGGAGAAGCUCUAUUAUUUUUUCAUUGUGAAGUUUCAUUCUUACACCUAUUCAUCCAUGAUGAACUACUUUUAGACCAAAUUGCCAAUAACUUUUUUCUCUACUGCAAACAGGACUUGCAUUGUAUCUGUUCCUACUCAUAUGCAACAUCUAAGACCACAGUGGAUUAUUGUAAACCAAUUUGCAAGACUGUGUAGUUACAUGCAAAAAUAUCAGCUUACUUGGAUGGCCACAACUAUGAUUUACAUCUCUCCAUAUACGGAGACGGAGACAGAUGUGGGCACCUCAGUGCUGCCAGUUUGCUCCAGCUGCCACCAGGGCAUGCUGUGUUCUGCCAGCUCCUCUGGGAGGAAGACCUCCGGGAUACUCCAAAAGGGAUGGGAUUGCCUUCGGCCUCCAAACUAGAGACACUGAGACUCAUCCAGCUAUGCCUUGCAAACCACAAGCAAACAGAAUGUGUACAUAUGCCAACAGCAGUUUACAUAUAUAGAGUUAGUCAUAUGAUUUUCUAAAGAUAGGUCUCCUUCAGCUAGAGGUUAUGGACUUGAUUCAGGUGUUCCUGGAAGAAAGGUUACCACGUAUUCUGCAGGCAGGACGCUGUGACCAUCGUAGCCCUUCCAAUUAUUAAACUUCCAGCUCCACUGUAAA